rnacentral:rRNA from 1 species
AGACAACUCUCAACAACGGAUAUCUUGGCUCCCGUAACGAUGAAGAACGCAGCGAAAUGCGAUACGUAGUGUGAAUUGCAGAAUUCCGUGAACCAUCGAAUCUUUGAACGCAAAUUGCGCUCGAGGCUUCGGCCAAAGAGCAUGUCUGCCUCAGCGUCGGCU